rnacentral:lncRNA from 1 species
UCAAGUCCACAUCUCAGAUACUAUAAGCAAUAGGUCUAGUAUAUUCGGUGUAUGGAAGCACUGUAAGGUGUACAUGUCCAACUGGCAGGUGUCAUCUGACCUUGACCUCAUUUUCAUGGUUCAGUGGUCAAAGUUAAGUUUUUGAGUUUUGGUCUUUUUUUUUCUAAUACUAUAUGCAAUAGGUCAACUAUAUUUGGUGUAUGGAAAUAUUUUAUGAUCUAUAUAUCAGUUGCGCAGGUUUUAUUUGACCUUG